AAAUAUGUAAAAACUAAAAGAAUUCGUUAGCCAGCGUCGCUGCAUUAAUAUGCAUGAGUGCAUUAAUAUGCACGAGCUCAGGCAGUGCAUUAAUAACUAUUCGCUGGCAGCGAAUAGUUAUUAACUAAUGCAUUUCAUAGCAGUACCUUGCUACAUUGACGCUUUGUAUAACAAGAUUAAAAGGUUUAAUUCAACAACACCUGGAAAUUUUACAGUUUUUUUAAAAGUAUGCAAGAAUUAGCAACUUUACAACAUGUUAUUGCUUUUGUUGCAAAAGGUUUUCCUUUUGAUACCAUGGAUCUUUGAGUUUUAGAAAAGUAGAUUAUGAAUAUUAAAUACAGAUCUGUUUCUGA